rnacentral:rRNA from 1 species
UUAAGCGACUAAGCGUACACGGUGGAUGCCCUGGCAGUCAGAGGCGAUGAAGGACGUGCUAAUCUGCGAUAAGCGUCGGUAAGGUGAUAUGAACCGUUAUAACCGGCGAUUUCCGAAUGGGGAAACCCAGUGUGUUUCGACACACUAUCAUUAACUGAAUCCAUAGGUUAAUGAGGCGAACCGGGGGAACUGAAACAUCUAAGUACCCCGAGGAAAAGAAAUCAACCGAGAUUCCCCCAGUAGCGGCGAGCGAACGGGGAGCAGCCCAGAGCCUGAAUCAGUGUGUGUGUUAGUGGAAGCGUCUGGAAAGGCGCGCGAUACAGGGUGACAGCCCCGUACACAAAAAUGCACAUGCUGUGAGCUCGAUGAGUAGGGCGGGACACGUGGUAUCCUGUCUGAAUAUGGGGGGACCAUCCUCCAAGGCUAAAUACUCCUGACUGACCGAUAGUGAACCAGUACCGUGAGGGAAAGGCGAAAAGAACCCCGGCGAGGGGAGUGAAAAAGAACCUGAAACCGUGUACGUACAAGCAGUGGGAGCCUCUUUAUGGGGUGACUGCGUACCUUUUGUAUAAUGGGUCAGCGACUUAUAUUCUGUAGCAAGGUUAACCGAAUAGGGGAGCCGAAGGGAAACCGAGUCUUAACUGGGCGUUAAGUUGCAGGGUAUAGACCCGAAACCCGGUGAUCUAGCCAUGGGCAGGUUGAAGGUUGGGUAACACUAACUGGAGGACCGAACCGACUAAUGUUGAAAAAUUAGCGGAUGACUUGUGGCUGGGGGUGAAAGGCCAAUCAAACCGGGAGAUAGCUGGUUCUCCCCGAAAGCUAUUUAGGUAGCGCCUCGUGAAUUCAUCUCCGGGGGUAGAGCACUGUUUCGGCAAGGGGGUCAUCCCGACUUACCAACCCGAUGCAAACUGCGAAUACCGGAGAAUGUUAUCACGGGAGACACACGGCGGGUGCUAACGUCCGUCGUGAAGAGGGAAACAACCCAGACCGCCAGCUAAGGUCCCAAAGUCAUGGUUAAGUGGGAAACGAUGUGGGAAGGCCCAGACAGCCAGGAUGUUGGCUUAGAAGCAGCCAUCAUUUAAAGAAAGCGUAAUAGCUCACUGGUCGAGUCGGCCUGCGCGGAAGAUGUAACGGGGCUAAACCAUGCACCGAAGCUGCGGCAGCGACGCUUAUGCGUUGUUGGGUAGGGGAGCGUUCUGUAAGCCUGUGAAGGUGUGCUGUGAGGCAUGCUGGAGGUAUCAGAAGUGCGAAUGCUGACAUAAGUAACGAUAAAGCGGGUGAAAAGCCCGCUCGCCGGAAGACCAAGGGUUCCUGUCCAACGUUAAUCGGGGCAGGGUGAGUCGACCCCUAAGGCGAGGCCGAAAGGCGUAGUCGAUGGGAAACAGGUUAAUAUUCCUGUACUUGGUGUUACUGCGAAGGGGGGACGGAGAAGGCUAUGUUGGCCGGGCGACGGUUGUCCCGGUUUAAGCGUGUAGGCUGGUUUUCCAGGCAAAUCCGGAAAAUCAAGGCUGAGGCGUGAUGACGAGGCACUACGGUGCUGAAGCAACAAAUGCCCUGCUUCCAGGAAAAGCCUCUAAGCAUCAGGUAACAUCAAAUCGUACCCCAAACCGACACAGGUGGUCAGGUAGAGAAUACCAAGGCGCUUGAGAGAACUCGGGUGAAGGAACUAGGCAAAAUGGUGCCGUAACUUCGGGAGAAGGCACGCUGAUAUGUAGGUGAAGUCCCUCGCGGAUGGAGCUGAAAUCAGUCGAAGAUACCAGCUGGCUGCAACUGUUUAUUAAAAACACAGCACUGUGCAAACACGAAAGUGGACGUAUACGGUGUGACGCCUGCCCGGUGCCGGAAGGUUAAUUGAUGGGGUCAGCGCAAGCGAAGCUCUUGAUCGAAGCCCCGGUAAACGGCGGCCGUAACUAUAACGGUCCUAAGGUAGCGAAAUUCCUUGUCGGGUAAGUUCCGACCUGCACGAAUGGCGUAAUGAUGGCCAGGCUGUCUCCACCCGAGACUCAGUGAAAUUGAACUCGCUGUGAAGAUGCAGUGUACCCGCGGCAAGACGGAAAGACCCCGUGAACCUUUACUAUAGCUUGACACUGAACAUUGAGCCUUGAUGUGUAGGAUAGGUGGGAGGCUUUGAAGUGUGGACGCCAGUCUGCAUGGAGCCGACCUUGAAAUACCACCCUUUAAUGUUUGAUGUUCUAACGUUGACCCGUAAUCCGGGUUGCGGACAGUGUCUGGUGGGUAGUUUGACUGGGGCGGUCUCCUCCUAAAGAGUAACGGAGGAGCACGAAGGUUGGCUAAUCCUGGUCGGACAUCAGGAGGUUAGUGCAAUGGCAUAAGCCAGCUUGACUGCGAGCGUGACGGCGCGAGCAGGUGCGAAAGCAGGUCAUAGUGAUCCGGUGGUUCUGAAUGGAAGGGCCAUCGCUCAACGGAUAAAAGGUACUCCGGGGAUAACAGGCUGAUACCGCCCAAGAGUUCAUAUCGACGGCGGUGUUUGGCACCUCGAUGUCGGCUCAUCACAUCCUGGGGCUGAAGUAGGUCCCAAGGGUAUGGCUGUUCGCCAUUUAAAGUGGUACGCGAGCUGGGUUUAGAACGUCGUGAGACAGUUCGGUCCCUAUCUGCCGUGGGCGCUGGAGAACUGAGGGGGGCUGCUCCUAGUACGAGAGGACCGGAGUGGACGCAUCACUGGUGUUCGGGUUGUCAUGCCAAUGGCACUGCCCGGUAGCUAAAUGCGGAAGAGAUAAGUGCUGAAAGCAUCUAAGCACGAAACUUGCCCCGAGAUGAGUUCUCCCUGACUCCUUGAGAGUCCUGAAGGAACGUUGAAGACGACGACGUUGAUAGGCCGGGUGUGUAAGCGCAGCGAUGCGUUGAGCUAACCGGUACUAAUGAACCGUGAGGCUUAACCUU